UGUUUUGAGUCAAGUGGUACCACAGCAGAAUCAAAAUCUGUUCUUGUUGCAUUGCGCAAGUUCGAAACCUGCCGAACAA